GAUGAACGCUGGCGGCGUGCCUAAUACAUGCAAGUCGAGCGAACGGACGAGAAGCUUGCUUCUCUGAUGUUAGCGGCGGACGGGUGAGUAACACGUGGAUAACCUACCUAUAAGACUGGGAUAACUUCGGGAAACCGGAGCUAAUACCGGAUAAUAUUUUGAACCGCAUGGUUCAAAAGUGAAAGACGGUCUUGCUGUCGCUUAUAGAUGGAUCCGCGCUGCAUUAGCUAGUUGGUAAGGUAACGGCUUACCAAGGCAACGAUGCAUAGCCGACCUGAGAGGGUGAUCGGCCACACUGGAACUGAGACACGGUCCAGACUCCUACGGGAGGCAGCAGUAGGGAAUCUUCCGCAAUGGGCGAAAGCCUGACGGAGCAACGCCGCGUGAGUGAUGAAGGUCUUCGGAUCGUAAAACUCUGUUAUUAGGGAAGAACAUAUGUGUAAGUAACUGUGCACAACUUGACGGUACCUAAUCAGAAAGCCACGGCUAACUACGUG
rnacentral:rRNA from 1 species